ACGGUGGAUGCCUUGGCAGUUAGAGGCGAUGAAGGACGUGUAAGUCUGCGAAAAGCUGUGGUGAGCCGACAAAAUGCAUUUGAACCACAGAUGUCCGAAUGGGGAAACCCACCUGUUUACAGGUAUCGUUACGUGAAUACAUAGCGUAACGAGGCGAACGAGGGGAACUGAAACAUCUAAGUACCCUUAGGAAAAGAAAUCAAUUGAGAUUCCCCUAGUAGCGGCGAGCGAACGGGGAGCAGCCCUU
rnacentral:rRNA from 1 species